ensembl:lncRNA LINC02428 long intergenic non-protein coding RNA 2428
CAUUAUUAUACCAGCAAUCCAGCCUGAAGGACUUAGCUCAUAGAUGUCUUCUGAAAUGUGGAAGAAAUACUUUCGUUUGUCAUAAAACCUCAGCAGGAGAUUGGAGUCUGGAAGAGGGAGGGGAGAAGAGGAGGACCUCAGGGAGAUUGUUUUGCUUAUUGGUGUUUAAUUAAAAACCAAACAACUUUUCCUAUUAACUUGAUGCUACUUAUUAAUUGAAAUGAGGAGACUGACUCUGGAUAUUGGGAAAAUUUAUGUCUGGAAUAGCAAAUUGACCUCAAAAGAUAUAUUUUGAUCAGGAUGAAUUCCAAAGCUGAAAUUAGUUGUUCUCUGAGUUCAGAGUUUUAGAUUAAACAUCUCUCUCUUGAUAUAUAUAUCUAUGACCCUAGUAAUCACCAUUCCACUCUCUACUUCUAUGAGUUUGACUAAGAUUCCACAUGUGACCAUUAUUCUGAGUGUUUUAAAAGCAAUAUUUUUCUAUUGAAGAAAUGAAAAUAGCAGUCAUUCAAAAUCCUAUUGUGCUAUCUUUUGAUCAUCAUAAUAAGCAAACGCAAAUAAUUCUCCCUUGGUGAUCCAAUUAAAUGAUUUUAAAAUAUCAGUGUCAAAGCUGUUCCUUCUAAAAUUUAAGGCAAAUCUAAUAGAUUCUAAACAUAGAUUACAAACUCAAACGCCCUCAGGUGCCAGGCAGGAGAGAUUAGAGAGCCGCCUGUCAGAAUGGAGACGCUAGAUUUAGUUUAUCCCCAAUUUGUAAAAGACAGACGCUGGUUGUCUUUUCAGAAUGACAAGAAAUCAAUAGACAAUAUUAUCAAGUGGUCAGAAUCUUGAAAGAAGGCAGAAAUUUAGGUAUAUUUAUUUCUAAUUUCUAAAUGUUGACAAAGAUUUAAAAUUUUAAAAGUACCUUGUAUUUUAAAUUAACCCUGUUGGAAGUCCAGCGUCAGCUGUUGGACUGCUACUUUGCAAUUACGGCAAAGUGGGACAGCUACAACCAUCUUUCUGGUUGAGUGCACUAUCCUCUUUCCCUUUCCGAAUUCACUUAUUUAUUAAACUACAUUUGCUGCUCAAGUCUGGGCUUCCUGGAUGUAAAAAGUUCUCCGUGAUCUGGCAUCACUCUGCCAUCCUGCCUUCAACCCUGCUGCUCCCAUCAGAGUGGCUUCCUUGCAGUCAUCUGACAUAUUCAACAUUGUUUUGCCUUCACUGCUGAGCUCAUGAAGUUGGUCUAUGAAUGUGUCAUAUAGUAGAAAGAAACUGGAUUUGGACAAAAUUCUAUGCUGAUAAAAAGGAUGAUGAGGCCAAUGCUGUGGAUGUAUUUAUAUAUCUGCUGAAUCUGUCAUUUAGGAAUUAGUAAAUAGUUGCUGAAUCCUUUGUUUUAAAUAUCGCGUACUUGAAAACGAUAAAUAAUUUUUCAACCUUUGGUUCUUCAGAUUGAAAAAUUUCAGCUCACAGAAUCUUUCCCAAGAUAGAGAAUUUCUAAACCUGUAAUUAUUUUUGUAACUUGCCUGUAAACUCUCUUUACAUUUUUUAUUCUUUUUGUUUCAAGUCUACAAUAUUUCUCGUUGUUUAGAAUGAAGUUGAUAAUAUUUUAAUAUAAAGCAGAGUUUCUGCAUUCAUUAGUA